rnacentral:tRNA from 1 species
CAAAUUAUAACUUAUAUAAAGUAUUUUAUUUACAUUAAAAAUAAAUGGUUUAAAUCCAUUAAUUUGA